rnacentral:misc_RNA from 1 species
UUGGACUACUGGGGUAUCUAAUCCUGUUUGCUCCCCACGCUUUCGCACCUCAGCGUCAGUAUCGAGCCAGUGAGCCGCCUUCGCCACUGGUGUUCCUCCGAAUAUCUACGAAUUUCACCUCUACACUCGGAAUUCCACUCACCUCUCUCGAACUCCAGACUGAUAGUUUCAAAGGCAGUUCCAAGGUUGAGCCCUGGGAUUUCACCUCUGACUUUCCAGUCCGCCUACGUGCGCUUUACGCCCAGUAAUUCCGAACAACGCUAGCCCCCUCCGUAUUACCGCGGCUGCUGGCACGGAGUUAGCCGGGGCUUCUUCUGCUGGUACCGUCAUUAUCUUCCCAGCUGAAAGAGCUUUACAACCCUAAGGCCUUCAUCACUCACGCGGCAUGGCUAGAUCAGGG